rnacentral:rRNA from 1 species
UACAGAGGUCCCAAGCGUUGUUCGGAUUCACUGGGCGUAAAGGGUGCGUAGGUGGCUUGGUAAGUUUGAUGUGAAAUCUCCGGGCUUAACCCGGAAAUGGCAUUGAAUACUAUUGAGCUGGAGGUUUGGAGGGGGGACUGGAAUUCUCGGUGUAGCAGUGAAAUGCGUAGAUAUCGAGAGGAACACCAGUGGCGAAGGCGAGUCCCUGGACAGCACCUGACACUGAGGCACGAAAGCUAGGGGAGCAAACAGG